rnacentral:rRNA from 1 species
AGAGUUUGAUCCUGGCUCAGGAUGAACGCUGGCGGUGCGUUUUAGGCAUGCAAGUCGAGCGAUCAGCCAUUGGCUGAGAGCGGCAGACGGGUGAGUAACGCGUAGGCAUCUACCCAUCAGUGGGGAUAGCCCUCCGAAAGGAGGUGUAAUCCCGCAUAUUAUCCGGUGUUUCACCGGAUGAAAGUCUUCGGACGCUGACGGAGGAGCCUGCGUGCUAUCAGCUUGUUGGUGAGGUAAUGGCUCACCAAGGCUAUGACGGCUAGGGGGCGUGAGAGCGUGGCCCCCCACAAGGUCACUGAGACACGGGGCCUACACCUACGGGUGGCAGC